CCACUCCAGUGUACACAGUUUAGGGAGUUUCCAAAUUACUCAAGACCUGAUGUCUUCUCUGGACACUCCGGAGCAAGCCUGGAGGAUGCGGCAGAGAACAAGGACCUAUUCACGGGAUACCUUCCUUCUAGCAAAGGAAGAGGACAUAACCAUAUGCUUCAGUCUUGUGAGGGGGUCAAGAGCACCAUUUAUGGAGUCAGACUGCCUGGGUUUAAACCUCAGCCCUGGCACUCACUAGCUGUGUGACCUUAGGCUCUUCUUGGGUGGUUCACUCUGAUGAGCUGAGCUGCCAUGUUGCCAGCUGCUCUGUGGAAAUUCCUGCACAUCAAGGCAUUGAAUGCAGCCUUCAGCCAACAGCCAGUGCAAGAACUCAUAAGGAACUGAAUCCUGCCAACAGCCACUGAAUGAGCUUCGAAGCAGAUCGACCCCUCUCUUGAGCCCAGAGAUGACUUUAGCCCUGGCGGACGCUUUGAUUGCAGCCUGAGAGAGACCCAGAGUCAGAGGACCCAGUUAAGUCACACUUGGAUGCCUGACCCACAGACACUGUGGAAUAAUAAGUGUUGUAUAAAGCCAGUAUGUUUGGGGGUAAUUUGAUAUGCAGUAAUUGAUAACUAAUGUAAUCUCCCUUCAAUUGUGUUGUCAAGGUCUAGCUUGUCAGAUUGGUGGAGGGAUUCUGGGCUUGCUCUAAAACUAUACAGAAAAACCUAGUGCAGGAAAGACUGCCAGUGUUCACCAAAUCUGGUUUUCCUUCCCUUCCCAGGUACAAUGUAAACCACAGUUCCCAGCCUACCUUGAAUCCAGAGGGAGGAUGGGUCUGAUAAAUUGUGCCUAGAAGUGAUAAACACCUGGCAGAUGCACCCAGCCUGGUUCCUAAAGCAUUGCAUUUUAGGAGUUCCCUUCAUGCUGUUACUCUUUGCUUUAAGGUGGUUGGACACAGAAGAUGCAGGAGAGGACUUCAGUGAAGACUUAAAAGUUAGUGAGCUGAUAGAAGGACUCUUGUCUGAGUGCCCACUUUGAUGAGAGUCUCCUCGGAAACUGCCAACCAGGAGCAUUCUUAGUGGACUUUAUGGGAUCAAGAAUCAACCUAUGUUGCAUUAGCUCUUAAGAUGCUGGGGCUGUUUGUUAUGCAGCUAACCUAGCCUAUCCUGACCACCACACCUUUCUUAUAUGUUUUUGUCUAUUUCAUUUGCUUUGCAUGUUUAAAUUUUAAUAUCAAUUAAUUAUCUUUCAGUCCUUUAAACACAAUUGAUCUCUGUAAUACUUGAGGUAACCUGCAUUUCUUUGCUUUGCAAAUAUUUAUUAGAUACCAGGUACUAUGCUUCCAUUGAUGAAAGGGCACAGAUUUUCUCUUUAAAAAAUUCAUAAUGGGGGCCAGCCCAGUGGCACAAUGGUUAAGUUCACAUGUUCUGCUUCUGCAGCCCAGGGUUCACCAGUUCAGAUCCUGGGUGUGGACAUGGCACCGCUUGGGAAGCCAUGCUGUGGUAGGCAUCCCACAUAUAAAGUAGAGGAAGAUGGGCAUGGAUGUUAGCUCAGGGCCAGUCUUCCUCUGCAAAAAGAGGAGGAUUGGCAGCAGAUGUUAGCUCAGGGCUAAUCUUCCUCAAAAAAAAAAAUCAUAAUGAAUUAGGAAAAUAGAAACACGAAGAGGCAAUUGAAUAGAAGUAUAAUAAGGAUAUACUCAUAGAGCUUGUUCAAAUAUACUUUACACAUCAAGCACUAACCCUUAAUUACUCUUUUAACAGCACUUAAAACCCUCUUCAUCACAUUAAAUAUCUAUUACAUAUGGUGGUAAGAAAGUGUGGCUGUUUUGGAUCACAAUGAAUUUGGCUCAGAUAGAGGUAUUUUGUAUGUAGGAGACAAAAAAUGAAGUCACAGAAGGAAAAUAUGCCUAGACAUUUGAAAUGUAUUCAGUUGGCACUAGGGAGCCAUUGAUGCUUGUAGGGGGAAGAUACAGGAUAAACUUUUCUUUUCGAAAGAUUUAUUAGGCAGAGAUAUUAGGGUGGCCUAGAAGAGGGAAGGCAACAUGCAUGCGGGAAGACUACAUGGGAACCUUACUGCGGAGGAGAUCAAGCGAACAACUCCAGACUAUGAAAGAAAAGGCUGAGAGCUGAUUGAGAAGUUGAAGGGUUUCUUCAGAGUGAGAGCUGCAUCUUUUCCUGUGAUUCCCACCCCUCACCUCUAUGGAGAAGACAUCCUUCCCCUUUACUUGGGCUAGUUGGGAACAUGGAGUGAAGGGCUCACAGACCUGGUACAAGGAGUUACAACAGACACUCGGAGGAACUGAAGUGGCUUCCUGCACUCCUUCCGGCCUGAAACUUCCUUUGUUCCUGUAAUCUCAAAACAGCUGUUUCCUCUGGAAUCACAAACCCCAGCUGGCAGAGCCUCUGCCUCCUGGAUCCUGCUGCACAUAAUACUGUUAAUGAUUCCAGAGGGAAACUUCUAGAAACAACGUGAGAGAUUAUCGCUGUUAACUCUCUAAACAAGGUGCUGCGCUGAAGGUAGAGUGUUGAACCCGGUUCCUUUUCUCGGUUGGGCAGGGUCAAAGUGCCAACAGUGAAGAAUCCAGUCUGGGAAAUCACAGUGCCAGUUAUACCUGCAGUCAUGGAAAAGGAUGACAACAAGGAGACACAGAGAUUUUUGAGUUUGAAGUACCUUUUCAGACACCUGCAGAUUCAACUGGAGGCCGUGGGUUCACAACGAUGCUGCUUUUUCAUCUGCUCUGAACUUGCUCUUACACAGGCGUUGAUAAAAACAGGGCAUACAGGAAAUAACAUGGAUUUAGGAACCUUGCAGACCUGGUUUGUGACAUAUAUGUCAACUCUGUUGUCUUAUGCAAUUUACUUGACUUGUGUGAGCCUCGCUUUUUAUUGGCAAGUGAAGAUCAUAACCUAGUUUGCUUUGCUGCUAUGAGGGUUGAAUGUCUCAAAAAAUACAAUGUUCCCAAUACAGUGUAAUAUCCUUGUUCUUGUCUCACUUUCCAUAGAGAGAGGAAACUCCCCUGCUGGACCCCCCCCAGAGGCACCAAUGGGUUUUCUACAGAUCUCAAUAUAACCCAACUUUCUCUUAUUUCCAUAGUUACUUACCUUUUCCACAAGUACAUCCUUCUCUUGGGUUACUGGCAUUUUGAAAAUAGGCUAUUCCAAGAUGCAUUUCCCUUUCCUGUACUUGAAGUGGUCCUAAUCCACACCAAAGUGGUCCCAAUCUGAGUGGUCCUCCAUCUUUAGAAGAUGGCAC
ensembl:lncRNA